UAGGUUUGAUAAUUCUGGGCUUUGUUCAUCCAUAGUUUUUCCUUUGAAAUAUACUUGUUUUUAUUAAAUAUUCAAAAGUUGUUUGUGUGCCAUGAAAGUCUUGCCUCUAACUUAGCCGGAUGGCUUACAUAUUUAUAGGAGGAAAAGAACUAUUUACUAUUACUAACUUUACAUUUGUCCAAAAUUUAAAAGACUAAUAAUGGUCCUAAAAAGUUAAAAUGGCAAGUGCCAAAAAAACAAGAAAAGUCAAAAAGGCU
rnacentral:lncRNA from 1 species